rnacentral:rRNA from 1 species
CUAGCGGCCAGGCUUAAUACAUGCAAGUCGAACGGCAAGUUGAAUAGCAAUAUCGGACCUAGAGUGACGUACGGGUGCGUAACACGUAUGCAACCUACCCAAAACUGGGAGGAUAGCUCGGGGAAACUCGAAUUAACCCUCCAUAAGAUCAUAGAGCAGCAUUGUUUAGUGAUUAAAACUCCGGUGGUUUGGAUGGGCAUGCGUCUGAUUAGUUAGUUGGCGGGGUAACGGCCCACCAAGACGAUGAUCAGUAGGGGAACUGAGAGGUUGAUCCCCCACACUGGCACUGAGAUACGGGCCAGACUCCUACGGGAGGCAGCAGUAGGGAAUAUUGGUCAAUGGGUGCAAGCCUGAACCAGCCAUGCCGCGUGCAGGAAGAAGGCGUUAUGCGUUGUAAACUGCUUUUGUCAGGGGAUAAAAUUUCCUUGCGAGGAACAUUGAAGGUACCUGGCGAAUAAGCCACGGCUAACUACGUGCCAGCAGCCGCGGUAAUACGUAGGUGGCAAGCGUUGUCCGGAUUUAUUGGGUUUAAAGGGUGCGUAGGCGGCCCUGUAAGUCAGUGGUGAAAUACUCCAGCUUAACUGGAGGGGUGCCAUUGAUACUGCAGGGCUUGAGUGGAGUCGAAGUAGGCGGAAUUGACGGUGUAGCGGUGAAAUGCUUAGAUAUCGUCCAGAACACCGAUAGCGAAGGCAGCUUACUAAAGAGUAACUGACGCUGAGGCACGAAAGUGUGGGGAUCAAACAGGAUUAGAUACCCUGGUAGUCCACACUGUAAACGUUGAUCACUAGAUGUUGGCGAUAUACUGCCAGCGUUCCAGCAAAAGCGAUAAGUGAUCCACCUGGGGAGUACGCCGGCAACGGUGAAACUCAAACGAAUUGACGG